CUUGUUCAUAUUUCUAUUUCUGGUCACGUUGUAUAAUAUGUAUAAGAAAUCUUAGUUGUAUUCAUCAAGACUGUGUUUUGCACAGGGCAAAUGGCCAAGAGUCUUACUGGUUUGUCCCAAGCUCUUUUGGCCCGAGUGGGAUCUCUGGAACUUGAGUAGUGCCUCUUGGAGAGUUUUGUCUUUCUCCACCUCUCAGCCUCAUUUUUUCAUUUAUGAAAUUGUGCUCAUAAUCCCUAUUCCAUGGAGUUGUGAAAAUUCGGUAAGAUCCUACAAGCCUUUUCAAAGGCUUUGAGAGCUGUGGUGUUGGAGGAAGGAUAAACAGGGCUGCUGUUAAACUACACAGCACAUUUGGGAAGGUGAGAAAAAGGCAUCGCUUUCUCCUGGUAGACCCAAACCUGUGCCAGGGUGCAUGGCUUGGUGGGUUGAGCUCGGCUGGAAUUCAGCCCUGUUUGCCCUUGUGGCCAGGCACACAAGGACACAGUCUAUGCAAUGGUUGUGGCAGCCCUGUGGGUGAAGUCCAAAUUCAUACGGGGGCAUCUGCCCAGAGUGCCUCUCCCAUGCACACACCUGUGUUUCUACCAAACUGAAGCCAUGAGUGCCUUGAAAGUAGAGGAUCAUUUCACCCCUCUCUGCCUUGUACAUGUGGGUCCUGCUGCCUUGCGUGCUCCUUCCCUUACUCUUGCUGUUUCAUUGAGCUCCUGCUCAGCCAUGAAGACCCACCUUAGGCAAGUCUUCUUUAGGUGCUCCUGAUGGGAUCACUUCUACCUUUGUGGCCUUUCCCCUUGAUCUGAGCACACACUGCUAUCCUAGCCCCGAUGCAGUGAUCUCUUCUCUUGCACCUCUCUGCUAGCUUUGGACAAUGAUGAAGAGACAGACCCAGAGAGUGGGCUCCCCUGUAUCCCGGACAAGUCCCAUCUUCAGCAUGGGAGCUUGUUAAUGUGGCACGGAAUGGUCACUCUAAAGAGAAAUUACCAGACUAUGGGAGCUGCCCAGGACCAAGGAACAUGACUCAUUUAUCUCCUGGUGCCCAGUUUGCAGCAGCCCAGGGCCCAGGGGAUUGGUGUUGUAAGCGUCUGUUGACUGAUUCACUGACUGUGUCUCAUAGUUCCUUUCCUGCCCUAGCCCUGAGCCAGGGCCAUGGAGCCCAGGGAACCAUGGAGGUAAGCAAGGGAAGGACAGUUGGGGAGUAGAUAGAGGUUUCUAGGAGCAAGAGGAGGGGAAUACAGGGAUUGUCUUUUAAAUUUGUUACCCACACCUAAAAUCUAUAUAUUCAUUAUCCUUAUGAAAAUGAAAACACUGUAAAUUUGGCUGAGGUUCCCCUUGUCUGAUGCACCCAGUUCAUGCACUGUCACAGAGGUAUCUAUGUGCUUUUUAUAUGUGCACCCAGUUCAUGCACUGUCACAGAUCGAUCUCCACAUGUGCUUUUUAUAUGUGUCCAUUAGGGUACAUGGUGACUGCAGUGCCAAAAAAGUUCCCAAAUCUCAGUUGCUUAACAUAGAAAACUUUAUUUCUCAUACUGCAUAGUGUGAUGUGGUCGGGAGGAAGCUCUGGGCAGCAACCCCAGAACGUGUUUUGGGGUCUGGUCUGGAAUGGCUUGUAACUGCCAACUCCUUGACCCCUGCUUCUCGCCUCUGAGAGGGCCAUUGAAGGGGACAUUUCAGGCUGGAGGCAGCAUAUGCUACUUGUUUCCGUAUUCCAGCAGCACGAACCGAGUCAUCUGGUCUGAAGUAACUGCGGGGAGACCGCGAAAUGAGUCUUGUGUGAAGAGGACUUGCGAGGACCUAGCAGAUCUUGCCACCACAGAGAUGGGUGUCAAUAGAGCAUAUAGUGUAUGAUAUCAGACAGGUGAAAUAGUGACAGUUCUCUUGGAGUGUUCCAACCCAGUUCUUUCUCCUCCAUUGGCUGCUAGGCUGUAGAUUUUCACCAUGACUGCUAGCUCUUGAUUUUCAAAGAUACCCACAGACAAGGAGAAGAGGGUGCGGGUAGAGCAAUUUCAGUGCCACAGAGCCUGCUGGGCUUACCCACAUUCAGCCACCUUUCUUGAAUAAACGCUCCCUUACUACAAGCCUUUGGUUAAUUUCAAGAGUCUGAAAGGGUUGGUUUUGACUAUUUUUUACAGUGUCCUCAUUGCUUUUAUGAAGCAGGGUAUUGGAAGUCCUUAUUCUGUCAUUCUCCCUGACAUCUCUCUAAGCUCCUUAGUUUAUAGUAACUCUCCAGUCUGUGUACUUUAUCUCUUAUUCUCCUCCGUUUACUUGUGUGUGCUUUGUGGAUUUUCUGCAUUAUAUAAGAUCAUAUCUGAAAUAAUUCACGUGUUCUCUUCCCCAAAUUGUCCAUUUUUGUAGCAAUUGGCUUAUGACAGGGACUUUUUCAGAUAGGGAGGGGAUUAUUUGCACUUGAGCUCUUUUUAGUUCUGGAAGAGUAGACCUGAAACCAGAGUAUCAGACACACAACAGGACACUUCUGACCAAGCAUAUGCAUAAAUAGAUUAUAAAAAUAUUCACAAAGAGUAGUUAUUUAUACAAUUUAUGGAAAAGGAGUUUUCAAACCAUUCAUUGCGUUCAUUUUCAGUAAAGCAUUGACUGUGGAGGAAGGACACGAAUAUGGUAAAAGAGAAAAACCAAUUUCAUCUGAGCUCAGAGCUUUUUCCUCUAAGAAAAAUACCCCAUCAUUAUUUGAGGGCAUUUCAAAUGUAGUGUAGACAAAGGCGAGAGAAGCUGCUAGCAUGAAUUCUUAUGAACAUAACGAAUGUGGGAAAUUAUUCUGUAAUAGCACAAGCCAGGCAGGAGGAAAACUUUUAAAAUGUAAUCAGUAUGGGAAAACCUUCAGUCAUAACAAACCUCAUAAGAUCUCAAGGGAUUAAUAGUGGAGAGAUUCCCAUAAGUGUACUAAACGUAGGAAGGCCGUCACCAGGGAAGAGAGCAGACAAGUCAUACUGUAAAGAAUUCCUCUGAUUUUAAUGAAAGCGAGAAGCUACGGUGCCAGGAGUUAAAACUCCUUAGCCACCAAAAUUCUGCAGAGAUGAUAAUCCUUAUAAAUGCAAUGAGUGUGGUAGAGGUUUCUUCAGUGAGUCACACUUUAUUACACAUCGGAAGAAAACCCUAGUAGAUGUCUAGGGUUGCCAUAACAAAUGACCACAAACCAAGUGACUACUUAGCAAUACAUUUUCAACAUCCUGAGAAUAUGUUUGGCAUCCAUUGAUUGUGUUCAUCCCUUAGAAUUGGUCACAUUUUCCUGAUACUUUGUAUAUGGAGUCAUUUGGAAUUAUAUUUAGACAUUGUGAAUGUUACGUUGUGUUCUGGGUCCUGGUAUAUGCCUCUUAAGAUGUUGUUUUGCUGUAGAAGGCAAUCGACCUGGUUGGAGUCGGUCAGCCUACAUGUCUAGUUGAGAUUCUGUGUAUGAGAUCAAGUAGCUCUGUUGUUUACAUGUGUGCCGUAUAUGCUCCAGGAUUAGGCUGGGACACCUGCAGAGACCCACGCAGAAUUAGGAGCCCUUUGCUGGUUCUCGCCUCUGGAAUUCCCUCCCACACUCGUUUCCUGUAUCCACUGGCCAAAGCUAAAAUCUUUGGGAAAAACAGACAAUUCUCCGAGGACGUGAAAAGUGAACAAAAGCAGACCAGUUAUGGAGCGAGCCAGAACUUGGGAGAUGCAUCCUGCUAGAGGCACAAAAGGACUGAUGGUGAGUGACAUAGCCAUCGGCCACAAGAAUCUGUACGUGAAGAUGAACCGGGUCAUUGUACCACACCGUUCUUGAGAAGGAGACAAUGCAAUCCAAAAAGUACAUGACCACAAAGAAACCCAUGAGCAACAGAAUGGUUUUGGUGGCACCUUUUCCCAGGGAUGCUUUUGAAGAAAGGCUGGUGCAAUAAAGAUGCUGGGUCUGCCUCAGCAUCUCAUGUCUAUACAAGAGAAUUACCAUGUACCCACUUGAGAGGGCCAUGAGCCCUAUAAAGACGACAUCCUGGAAGGUGAACAGUGUGAAAAAUAUUUGCCUGAGGAAGCAAUCUUGGGGCCAAAGAGAACAGGAUUCAAACAGAAGACGGGCAGAGGUCACGUUAGGAGUAGAAACAGUGGACAUUAUGAAGCAACUACUAACAAACAUAUUGUAGACCCAUAGGGGGAAAAAUGAACACUGGCUCUGAUGUGAGGAUUUAUGUUUGAACUUUGCCAAACAGGAGCUUCUGGGCUGAGGAUGAUGGCCUGGAGGACACUCAGCAGGCAGGUGGCACAAAUGGAGAGGUCCCUCAUCAACUUAUGCAAGUAGACAAAUGAUUUACAACUUUGAAGUCAUUCCAAAACCUUGGAGACCCCAAAAUGCCUGUAGCCACAAAACCCACUGUUAUCAGCAUCACUGUAUGAAUUAAGGCCAACUGAAUGAUAGGUCAGUGGGCUUCGGCUUGUUUUUAAGAAGUAAUAUGAGGAUGUGGAAGAGAAGAAGGACAUUAUUGGCUGAGAUCCUAAUGCCAGCUUCCAAGAAAAAGACAUUUUUAUGGCAAUAACAUCAUGAAAUUUGUUGUUUUCACCCAUAUUUAUGGGGAAAAGAAGUAUAUUGUAAAUAACUGAAGAGAAAAACAAGAAAAAUGAUCUUUCUCACAAAUCCUUACCUUCAUCAAUCUCAACCAACACUACUGCUGUCACCACCAUAAGUGGGUUAAUCCUGAUGACUCCUUUUCCCUUUCAAUACUCAAGCUCACCAUCAUACCAUCCCGGAAGCCAUCCCCACCCUCUCCCACCAUGGAAAGUCCCACCGCUUCCCAAUAAUGGCUGGAUUAUGUAUAUCAUCACUGGGUUUCCACAGUGCUAGAGUUUUCCUCUACAUUAAAAGUUGCCAUAAAUAUACCUUGGCUAAUUGAAUUUAAAUUACAAAAAGAACAAACCUUAGAAUAACAUGCAAGUAAGAAAACAAAACAAAAAAUAAUAAAAGUUGU